UUACUGGGUUAAUGUUUCUGUUUAAUGGGCUCCCAUAAAACAAUCUUGUAGACUCAUCACCCGUUGCCCUCUGGACGGCUUAUAAACGUUUUAUUUUUUUCAUCUCUGUGUAGGUAUCACUGACUGAUAAACACUCAUUUUUCUGGGGUAAAAGUAGAUUAGUCUUUUGUAAAAAUAAUGACUGAAAGCUCUUCCUCGUCGUCCACCUCUUGGAGAGAAGCUUCUUUACUCAGUAGAAUCCGCACGUUGCUUCCCGUCGGCUUCGAGGCAGAAUUGAAAAACUUAUCACUAUUGGCUGUGCCUGCGAUUUUGACUCACUUCAUGGUGCUUUCUGCAAGCUUUGUCAGCACUAUGUUCUGUGGUCAUUUGGGAAGGGUGGAGCUGGAUGCAGUAUCUCUGGCCAUAGCUGUUGUGAAUGUUACAGGCAUAUCUGUUGGUGCCGGGCUGUCAUCAGCAUGCGAUACUUUGAUAUCUCAGACAUAUGGGGCUGGCAAUCUCCUAAGAGUCGGGGUGAUCGUGCAGAGGACCAUCCUCAUCCUUAUCCUGACAUGUUUCCCAUGCUGGGCGGUGCUCAUCAACACAGAGUCCAUUCUGCUGGUUUUGGGACAAGAACCAGAGGUUGCCAGGUUGUCUCAGUUGUACGUGAAGAUCUUCAUGCCAGCACUUCCUGCUACAUUCAUGUAUCAACUGCAAGCGGGAUACUUGCAAAACCAGGGGAUCAUAUGGCCACAAGUGAUCACAGGCUUUGUGGCCAAUCUCCUUAAUGCCUUCAUGAACUACAUUGUUCUCUUUGUAUUAAACAUGGGAGUCGCAGGUUCUGCUCUUGCCAACAUCGUGUCACAGUUUUCCAUGGCUGGCAUCCUGUACACUUACAUCUUGUGGAAAGGUCUUCACAAGGUUACCUGGGGAGGUUGGUCCAAAGAUUGCCUGCAGGAGUGGGGCUCUUUCAUCCACUUGGCCAUCCCCAGCAUGUUGAUGUUGUGUGUGGAGUGGUGGACUUUCGAGAUUACCAUCUUCCUAGCAGGUCUCAUAAGUGAGGUAGAACUUGGAGCUCAGUCAGUCAUCUAUCAAAUCUCAAACUGUGUUUAUAUGUUUCCUUUCGGUUUCAGUCAGGCGGGCACUGUACGAGUGGGAAAUGCUCUGGGAGCUGGAGAUGCCCAGCGAGCUAAGUUGUCUGCAAAACUGUCAAUGUUCUGUGCAGUGUUAGUCUCUUUAUGCUUGAUGGUCAUCAUUGGGAGCCUGAGACAUCAUAUUGCUUAUAUCUUCACGUAUGACGAAUACCUCCAGUGCCCUGCAAAUGGCCAGCAGUUCUGCAGCUUGAGCGGAGGGUUUCAUAACAUCAUUUAUGGACCAAAGCGUUUGGAUUUCAGAAUUUGGGUUUCCGCGAUAUCUUCUACGGCCUCUUGUUUACAAGGAUACUACGGCACGUUAACAAAAGCAGUCGGGUCUACCUCGAAUGUUACCGGAGUCACGGAUGCCAUCUGCAGGCCCCUCGGACCACAACAAAUACGGCUAAAGGUUGCUGAGGUUGCGAUAUUCUAUGCUCCGUUCAUCCUGAUGGAAGCAAUUUUAGUGGUCGCCGAAGGGAUUAUCAUAGGAAUGGGGAAGCAGAAAGUCGGGGCGGUCUGUAACAUUCUGAGUUAUUCUGGAGUGUGUCUACCUGUUGGAGUGCUGCUGAUGUUUAAAACCAAAUUAGGAAUCAAAGGUCUGUGGACAGGUCUCUGUGCCUCUGCGUCUCUGCAGAGCUGCGUACUGCUUGUCUACUUGGCAAAGAUGAACUGGGAGAAAGUUACACUUGAGGCUCAGAUUAGAGCUGGUGUUACCAGGAGUUCAGAAGACCCACAGCAUCAAAGCGACAUGUAUGAGCUGCUGGUCCCUGAGGAAUGGGAGGAGGAGUGGGAGGAGGAGGAUGAGGAGGAGGAAGAGGAAGAGGCGGCGACGGUAGUGGCGGUGAGCGCUCCAGACCAGUACCUCGCCAGAGGACCUUAAUGGUGCAUCGAAGUCUUCUUGUUGCCCUCAUGCUCUUCAUUAUGGUUGGCGGGAUCGUGGUCAACCAGCUAUUGACCAACAGACUGGCGUGGGACCGCGAGGUGGCUGAUCCUGUGCGGUUUGUCGCUCGCUGCUUCGCUACGCAGCGCACGUGUGAGCAGACGGCAGAGACAUUGUAGCCCAAAUAACACAAAACACAUUACACUUCAGGGAAGAUAUGUUUUUUCGAGUUGUGGCAUACUUUGAUGGCUAACUCCACGCUAUACUGGUAGAACUGGGUCCAUAAUGAAUGAGGAAAUGGCGAUUCCGCUGAAUGACCACUGCAUUGAAUAAGGGCGCUUAGUGUUUAUAUAGUGGGGGACGGGACUCAUCCCAGAAAGUAUAUGCCCAAACCCCUUGAUGUCACAAGGAUAGUUUUUAACGCUGUCCACAAAAUCAGGAACAUUUAGAAGGUGAAAAAGAGUCUUAACAAUUCAGUACUAUAUUGUUCUUCGUCUUUGCACAUGUUUUCAGCACUUAUCUUCAAACAUAUGUAAUAUAUGUAGAAACAAAACAAGGAUAUAUGUUUUGGGGCACUUUCAGAUCAGGCUGUCAUUUUAAAGAUUUUUAUUUUAUUUUUUUAAACUUCUUUUACUGCAUAAAGUUUUCAGUUAACAUCAGUUCUUGUCAUUAGUAUAAAAUAUUAAUUAUUAUUUUUCAAUCCUUCAAAUUCCGUUUGGAAAGCAAUCCCAAAAAGGAAAUGUUUAUAUAUUCUAAGUACCACCUUUUUUUAUAUCCUGCUAACAGUCUUUAUAUCCAGUCUUUCUACACCUAACAGAGGAUUUUCCACUUCUUAAAUUAAAAUUUAAUACAUCUCCAUGUGCAGCAGGGGAUAUCUCCAUUUACUACGGUGCAGUAAGUCAUUAACUGCCUUUUUUCAGUAACUAGGAAUGUUGCAUGAAAUUACUCCCUUGUCCAAAUUUUGAUAAAUGACAUAAUCUGAUAUAAAAAAUAAAAAAACUAACAUUUUCAAACUCAUUUUACCCAAAUUGUAUGACUAAAUCUAGUAAAAAACAAGUACCAAAAGUAACCAUGAUAGAGCCAAAUGUUACAAUUAACAUUAAUUAAUUAACGGCCUGCCACCGGAGCUGCUGAGACAGUUCUACACAGCGAUCAUCGAAUCAGUCCUGUGUUCUUCUUC